rnacentral:rRNA from 1 species
CCUACGGGUGGCAGCAGUGGGGGAUAUUGCACAAUGGGGGAAACCCUGAUGCAGCGACGCCGCGUGUGGGAAGACGGUCUUCUGGAUUGUAAACCACUGUCCCCAGGGACGAAAAUGACGGUACCUGGGGAGGAAGCUCCGGCUAACUACGUGCGAGCAGCCGCGGUAAUACGUAGGGGGCAAGCGUUGUCCGGAAUUACUGGGUGUAACGGGAGCGUAGGCGGGGAUGCAAGUUGUGUGUCAAAACUACCGGCUCAACCGAUAGUCGCACUCAAAACUGCAGCUCUGGUGGGAAGUAGAGGCAGGCGGAAUUCCUAGUGUAGCGGUGAAAUGCGUAGAUAUUAGGAGGAACACCAGUGGCGAAGGCGGCCUGCUGGGCUUUUACUGACGCUGAGGCUCGAAAGUGUGGGGAGCAAACAGGAUUAGAUACCCUUGUAGUC